rnacentral:rRNA from 1 species
CUAAGAGCAAAUGGUGGAUGCCUUGGCUAGUAGAGGCGAUGAAAGACGUGCCAGGCUGCGAUAAGUCUCGGGGAGCCGUCAAGGGGCUUUGAUCCGGGAAUUUCUGAAUGGGGCAACCCAGUAUAUAGUGAUAUAUACUACCGCAAUGCGGAGCGAACGUUGGGAAUUGAAACAUCUUAGUACCAACAGGAAAAGAAAUCAAACGAGAUUACGCUAGUAGCGGCGAGCGAAAGCGUAAGAGGGCAAACCACUAGCUUGCUAGUGGGGUUGUAGGACUGCAAUAUAGACUUAAACAAUCUAAUAGAAUAAGUUGGAAAGCUUAAGCAUAGAGGGUGAUACUCCCGUAUAUGAAAGUGCGUUUAUACUUAGCAGUAUCCUGAGUAGGGCGGGACACGUGUAAUCCUGUCUGAAGCUGGGUAGACCACUAUCCAACCCUAAAUACUACUACUAGACCGAUAGUGCACAAGUACCGUGAGGGAAAGGUGAAAAGAACUGAGGUGAUCAGAGUGAAAUAGAACCUGAAACCAUUUGCUUACAAUCAUUCAGAGCCCUAUGAUUUAUCAGGGUGAUGGACUGCCUUUUGCAUAAUGAGCCUGCGAGUUGUGGUGUCUGGCGAGGUUAAGGAAACCCGGAGCCGUAGCGAAAGCGAGUCUUAAUAGGGCGUAUAGUCAGAUGCUGCAGACCCGAAACGAUGUGAUCUAUCCAUGAGCAGGUUGAAACUGGUGUAAGAGCCAGUGGAGGACCGAACAGACGGCCGUUAAAAAGGCUCCUGAUGACUUGUGGAUAGGGGUGAAAGGCCAAUCAAACAUCGUGAUAGCUGGUUCUCUCCGAAAUAUAUUUAGGUAUAGCGUUGUGUAGUAACUUUGUGAGGUAGAGCACUGAAUGGGCUAGGGCAUACACCAAUGUACCAAACCCUAUCAAACUCCGAAUGCGCAAAGUGUAAUCACAGCAGUCAGGCGGCGAGUGAUAAAAUCCGUCGUCGAGAGGGGAACAACCCAGACUAACAGCUAAGGUCCCUAAAUCUCAUUUAAGUGGAAAACGAUGUGGAGUUACUGAAACAACCAGGAGGUUGGCUUAGAAGCAGCCAUCCUUUAAAGAAAGCGUAAUAGCUCACUGGUCUAGUGAUUCUGCGCGGAAAAUAUAACGGGGCUAAAAUGAGUACCGAAGCUUUAGACUUAGUUUUUAACUAAGUGGUAGGAGAGCGUUCUAUUCAGCGUUGAAGGUAUACCGGUAAGGAGUGCUGGAGCGGAUAGAAGUGAGCAUGCAGGCAUGAGUAGCGAUAAAAGGGGUGAGAAUCCCCUUCGCCGUAAACCCAAGGUUUCCUACGCGAUGCUCGUCAUCGUAGGGUUAGUCGGGUCCUAAGCAAAGUCCGAAAGGGGUAUGCGAUGGAAAAUUGGUUAAUAUUCCAAUACCAAUUAUUAUGUGCGAUGGAAGGACGCUUAAAGUUAAUGGAGCUAGCGGAUGGAAGUGCUAGUCUAAGGGCGUAGGUUGAGUUAUAGGCAAAUCCGUAACUCUCUAUCCGAGACCUCAAAGGCUCUUGACGCUCUUCGGAGUAGAUGGAGAAUCCAUGAUACUAUCGAGCCAAGAAAAGUUUCUAAGUUUAGUAAUAAUUGCCCGUACCGUAAACCGACACAGGUGGGUGGGAUGAGUAUUCUAAGGCGCGUGGAAGAACUCUCUUUAAGGAACUCUGCAAAAUAGCACCGUAUCUUCGGUAUAAGGUGUGCCUAACUUUGUAUUAAGAUUUACUCCCAAAGCAAAGAAGGUUACAACAAAGAGUCCCUCCCGACUGUUUACCAUAAACACAGCACUCUGCUAACUCGUAAGAGGAUGUAUAGGGUGUGACGCCUGCCCGGUGCUCGAAGGUUAAUUGAUGGGGUUAGCAUUAGCGAAGCUCUUGAUCGAAGCCCGAGUAAACGGCGGCCGUAACUAUAACGGUCCUAAGGUAGCGAAAUUCCUUGUCGGUUAAAUACCGACCUGCAUGAAUGGCGUAACGAGAUGGGAGCUGUCUCAAAGAGGGAUCCAGUGAAAUUGUAGUGGAGGUGAAAAUUCCUCCUACCCGCGGCAAGACGGAGAGACCCCGUGGACCUUUACUACAGCUUGACACUGCUAUUUGGAUAAAGAUGCGCAGGAUAGGUGGGAGGCUUUGAUCCAUAGACUCUGGUUUAUGGUGAGCCAUUGUUGAGAUACCACUCUUCUUUAUUUGGGUAGCUAACUAGCCUAAGUUAUCCUUAGGUAGGACAAUGUCUGGUGGGUAGUUUGACUGGGGCGGUCGCCUCCCAAANGUAGAGUAUAAAGGCAUAAGCCAGCUUAACUGCAAGACAUACACGUCAAGCAGAGACGAAAGUCGGUCUUAGUGAUCCGGUGGUUCUGUGUGGAAGGGCCAUCGCUCAAAGGAUAAAAGGUACCCCGGGGAUAACAGGCUGAUCUCCCCCAAGAGCUCACAUCGACGGGGAGGUUUGGCACCUCGAUGUCGGCUCAUCGCAUCCUGGGGCUGGAGCAGGUCCCAAGGGUAUGGCUGUUCGCCAUUUAAAGCGGUACGCGAGCUGGGUUCAGAACGUCGUGAGACAGUUCGGUCCCUAUCUGCCGUGGGCGUAAGAAGAUUGAGGAGAGUUGACCCUAGUACGAGAGGACCGGGUUGAACCAGCCACUGGUGUAUCAGUUGUUCUGCCAAGAGCAUCGCUGAGUAGCUAAGCUGGGAUGUGAUAAGAGCUGAAAGCAUCUAAGCUCGAAGCCAACUCCAAGAUGAAUCUUCUUUUAAGAGCUCUAGUAGACUACUAGUUUGAUAGGCUGGGUGUGUAANUUUAGCUGACCAGUACUAAUAGCUCGUUUGCUUAUCUUA